AGGGGAUCUUCAAAUUUUAAGUUAGAUUCUACAAUUUCUCAUGAACAAUUGGAACAACAUAAACAAAUCUACGUUAAUAAAGGAAAGCACCUGAGGAAUCAAACUCAGUAACCCAGUCAGGCACCCUAUGGUCGUCGUGAGCAUUGUGAUGAUGUGGAAGACAAUGUUGAUAUUUUUUCUGUCCUUGAUCCUGAUUUUGAUUAAUAAACUUAUUGUGAUUAUCACAGCUUUUAUCAAAAUCAGGAUCAAGACUCUCUCUUUUCUUGUGUAAAAUAUGUAUGACAAUAAAAGUAAACAUCUAUCAUUUAUAUUCUGUGUGAUUCAUGUGAGAUCACUACAUACCUUACUAAAU
rnacentral:lncRNA from 1 species